rnacentral:rRNA from 1 species
AGUGAACGCUGGCGGUAGGCCUAACACAUGCCAGUCGAACGGCAGCACAGGAGAGCUUGCUCUCUAGGUGGCGAGUGGCGGACGGGUGAGGAAUACAUCGGAAUCUGCCCAGUCGUGGGGGAUAACGUAGGGAAACUUACGCUAAUACCGCAUACGACCUUCGGGUGAAAGAGGGGGAUCGCAAGACCUCUCGCGAUUGGAUGAGCCGAUGUCGGAUUAGCUAGUUAGCGGGGCAAUGGCCCACCAAGGCGACGAUCCGUAGCUGGUCUGAGAGGAUGAUCAGCCACACUGGAACUGAGACACGGUCCAGACUCCUACGGGAGGCAGCAGUGGGGAAUAUUGGACAAUGGGCGCAAGCCUGAUCCAGCCAUACCGCGUGGGUGAAGAAGGCCUUCGGGUUGUAAAGCCCUUUUGUUGGGAAAGAAAUCUUUCAGGCUAAUACCCUGGGAGGAUGACGGUACCCAAAGAAUAAGCACCGGCUAACUUCGUG